ACUUCCGGACCGCGGAGAGCACUGGCGACCCUAGCGGGUGAGAGGCCCUUCAGGGCCCACUACCUGUUCUGCAGGCGGGUCCUGGCCUCCCCGCAGUGAAUCCCAGAGACCAAGAGAUGGCAGCUGGGUUCUUUACUGCUGGAUCGCAGGGGUUGGGGCCAUUUAAAGAUAUGGCCCUGGCCUUCCCUGAGGAGGAGUGGAGGCAUGUGACCCCAGCCCAGAUAGACUGCUUUGGGGAGUACGUGGAACCGCAGGACUGCAGGGUCUCUCCAGGUAAGACUGUCUCCACCCACAGGUGAGGAACUGGGGAGUUCUGAAAGCUCAGGUCAGGGGUCCUGCCGUAGCUCUGGCGCUCCUGGCAAAGGAAGGGGACUUCAUGGCAGGCGGGUAAAUGGGUCCAGCAUGGACCAUGGGGCACGAGGAGCUGCUUUCCUGUGUCAAUAGAGGAGCCAAAUGAUGGAGCAGGAAAACAUGAGGCCAUUAUUCUGGCUGUAUGGAGACAGGUCGGUCAUGAGGACCCCCAAACACCUACAUUGUGUCCAUGAUUAAAGACACUGAGGGCUUGAGAACAAGAUAC
rnacentral:sRNA from 1 species